GGAGGGUGUGACUAGUGACAGAGUAAGGGAGGGAAGGGGUAACUAGUGAGAGUGAGGGAGGUGGUGAUUAGUGACAGAGGGAGGAAUGGGGUGACUAUCACUGUGUCACCCCCUUCCUCACUCUGUCACUAGUCACCCUCUCCCUCCCUCACUCGGUCACUAUUCACCCCCUCUCUCACUCUGUCACCAGUCAUUCCCUCACUCUGUCACCAGUCAUCCCUUCCUUCCCUCACUCUGCCACUAUUCAUCCCUUCCCUCAC